GGUGGCUUAGUGGUAAAGUGUUUGCCUUGCAUGCAUGAAGCCAUGGGUUCGAUUCCUCAACACCA
rnacentral:tRNA from 1 species